GACACAUUAUUUUCAGAUUACCUGUCUCAUGCACUACUGUCAGGAUAUAGUGACCGUUUUAUAAAAAUAACUUUUUUUAAUCAUAUUUGCACCAUUUCUAUGCACUGCAGCUUGAAAUGCACAGCUCAUU